UACGUAGGGUGCGCGCGUUGUCCGGAAUUAUUGGGCGUAAAGGGCUCGUAGGCGGUUUGUCGCGUCGGGAGUGAAAACACCGGGCUUAACUCGGUGCUUGCUUUCGAUACGGGCAGACUAGAGGUAUGCAGGGGAGAACGGAAUUCCUGGUGUAGCGGUGAAAUGCGCAGAUAUCAGGAGGAACACCGGUGGCGAAGGCGGGUCUCUGGGCAGUAACUGACGCUGAGGAGCGAAAGCGUGGGGAGCAAACAGG
rnacentral:rRNA from 1 species